GAUGAACGCUGGCGGCGUGCCUAAUACAUGCAAGUCGAGCGAACGGACGAGAAGCUUGCUUCUCUGAUGUUAGCGGCGGACGGGUGAGUAACACGUGGAUAACCUACCUAUAAGACUGGGAUAACUUCGGGAAACCGUAGCUAAUACCGGAUAAUAUUUUGAACCGCAUGGUUCAAAAGUGAAAGACGGUCUUGCUGUCACUUAUAGAUGGAUCCGUGCUGCAUUAGCUAGUUGGUAAGGUAACGGCUUACCAAGGCAACGAGGCAUAGCCGACCUGCGAGGGUGGUCGGCCACAUUGGAACGGAGACACGGUCCAGACUCCUACGGGAGGCAGCAGUAGGGAAUCUGCCGCAAUGGGCGAAAGCCUGACGGAGCAACGCCGCGUGAGUGAUGAAGGUCUUCGGAUCGUAAAACUCUGUUAUUAGGGAAAAACAUAUGUGUAAGUAACUGUGCACAUCUUGACGGUACCUAAUCAGAAAGCCACGGCUAACUACGUG
rnacentral:rRNA from 1 species